CUCGAAAUUCACUGACAAUUGAAUUCGUGAAAUACUUUCAAUUAGAAUCUCAAAGGAAAUGUUGGGCUGUGAGUAACGGGGAAAAAGUUAACAAUGCCACAGGGAAGCUCAUCAAAAACUGAAAACUAUGACUCUGAGUAUGUUUUUUUGUAGUGAGAAAGUGCACGCGUCGAAUAACACUGGAAACUAAAUUCUUUUGAAACGUCAAAAUAACUUGUUGAAUAGGUCAAACAAAAUAUUUUUUAAUUCAAAAAAUAUUCUGUCCACGGCGUAAAUUCGCGUAAACGUUAAUCUCAUUGCAAAUUCUGAGAUCGAACCGAGGUUAUUCAGAAGCAUAUUAUCCGGGUAAAAAGUACUUUCGAAAUCGAACAAGCAGUAACAUGAACUACGGAUGAAAAAAGAUGUGUAAAAACGUGGCUUGUCCUGGCUUGUAGACGCGCUACCGAAAUAUGCAUGGAGCAAGAUCACAUCGGGCCGGACUCAUCUCGCCAUAUUAUGUUCGAGCUGGAGCCAAGAGUGAUAGGGGUGAACGAGGGUGCAAGUAAUAUAUUGUCAUGGAUCAAUGUCAACUGUAUCACCAUGUUGAUGGCAAUCGAUGGAUGGAAGUUCCAGACGGAUUUACAGCCUGUAGAAUUUUGGUGAUCGAAAAUUCAAAUCAAUAUUGAAAACUCGUUGUUUUGACGGAGUAUUGAUCUUUUGGGCAGGAAAAAUUAGUCGUGACAAAGUUCUCCGAUGAAUCUUGCUGACAAACGUCGAAAUUACAGUUUUCUGCACAUCUGCUCUCAAAUAAAUGGUAUCAAUUCGUAAAAAUAGUUGGGCGAGUGCGAGGCUAAGUUUGUUGCAAAAUGGGCUGAACCGAGUGAUGAAAAUUUCAUGGAAAUCAGCUCGUGGUGAGGUAUCGGGCGAUAAAAUACACGAGCUCUGUCGAGGCACCGCGUGCUCUGAAGAACCGAAACUUUGCUGGAGACUUGGCGUGUUUUCGCGUGCGGGCGAGGUGUUGUAAAAUUCAAUAUGAUUCGCGGCGGCUAAAUAUCGAGGUAGCGAAGCCUAACUUUUCUUGAAUAAAAAAUCUCGUAGCCUCAUUCAAUCAGGAUUUUUUAAGUUUCUUAGCUAAAUCACGAAUAAAUCGCUUCGCAUUUAAAGUUUUUCAUUACAAUGAAGCUUUCUUUAACAUAAAUUCCUUCGAGUUGCUUAUUAACUUGAUGGAUUCAAACGGUAAUUCGAUGAUCUCGCAUCUGCAUACAUAUAAAUCUCAUCAUCCUUUCCAAAAGCACUGGAAAAAGGUUUGUUUAUGUGCUACUAAAGUUCGCCUCGAGCAUUGCGGAUUCAGCAGCUAGAGGUUCGCACAAGAUUUGUGCAUCUGUUGUUCACUUUAUUUGUGUACAAGAGUAACGAGGAUUUACCGUAAGAGCUCCAUUAAUUGCGAGUUGACGGGAAGAGCCGUUAUGAAGGUGUUAAUCAGAAAAGCUAUUUAAAUUUUAAACGUCUUUAUUCUCUUUACUUACGAAGCGCACUUUUCUGA